rnacentral:sRNA from 1 species
CUGCGGCCGUGAUAGAAGCGGCAUCCUUUUUUGGCGCGAGCGCAGCGAGCGCCAAAAAAGAUACAGCGGAUAGCGCGAAUUGUC